UGGGGAAUUUUGCACAAUGGGGGAAACCCUGAUGCAGCGACGCCGCGUGAUUUAGAAGGCCUUCGGGUUGUAAAAAUCUUUUCUAUGGGAAGAAAAUGACAGUACCAUAGGAAUAAGGACCGGCUAAUUACGUGCCAGCAGCCGAGGUAAUACGUAAGGUCCGAGCGUUGUCCGGAAUCAUUGGGCGUAAAGGGUACGUAGGCGGGUAAGCAAGUUAGAAGUGAAAUCCUAUAGCUCAACUAUAGUAAGCUUUUAAAACUGCUCAUCUUGAGGUAUGGAAGGGAAAGUGGAAUUCCUAGUGUAGCGGUGAAAUGCGCAGAUAUUAGGCGGAAUACCGGUGGCGAAGGCGACUUUCUGGCCAUAACCUGACGCUGCGGUACGAAAGCGUGGGUAGCAAACAGG
rnacentral:rRNA from 1 species